AAAUAAUAGACAACACAAGGAAGAAAAUGAAUGGACAAAAAUUAGAAGUUCCUUGAUACCGUGAGACAAAAGGAAAAAUAUGAGGCAGAUACAGCGAUGGCAAGAAUCAUCGUUCAACACGUCCAGUGCAUGAAGCACAUUUCCUUUUGGUGCCUAAAAGAGGAGUUUCUGGUAUCUUCUUUCCGAACGUCCACAGUGGGAGAGAUGUAUGGGAAGCAGACAGAAGGCUGCCAGUAACACCCUCACUGACCGGCAAGCACAGCCAGGUAUCCGGCUGUAAACUUCGAUAACAUUAGAUUGUGAUUCCUGUAGAAAAUAUCUUCUCUGGUGAAAAUCAGCUGUUGCUAGCUUACCUGCUCCCUAUGUGCCUUACAGAAAGCUGAACACUGCCUUCUGUUGAGGA